ACAGUGAGUGUAAGAGACAAGGCGUGCCCAGUUCAAACAGAACCAAUGCAGAGGACAAAGGACCAGAGCUCGCUGGGCUGGGGCGGGCAGCGGAGCCCCCACACGCUCAGACUCCCACCCUCUAGGACUCGUGUUCAUCCAGUCCACAGAUAUUUAUCGAGCACCUACUAUGUGCCAAGCUCUGUUCUAGGGGCUUGGGAUACAGCGGUGAACACAACAAAGAUUCCCACCCCUGGCAGGAGAAGAUAGACUAUAAGUAUGACAACUCAGGAAAUUCCCUAGGAAGUUAGAAGAUAAGCGCAGAAUGGGGGAGGUGAGGAGCACAAUUUUAAAUAAGACGGCCCGAGGAGACCUCAGGAGAAGAUGACGGGAAAAUCCGGGAGAAGCAGGGAGCCAGGCAGAACUGGAGAAGAGAUGGAAAACAUGGCAUAUCUCCAGAAUGUGCAUGACACUUGGCAACUCCCUGAAAUGUGCCCAUGACCUCUGGUCCACGCCUUUGCCCACGCCAGCCUGUGCCGCCCACUGGACAGAUCCCAAACCCGGGUCCCGUGAACCUGGCUGCCUCCUGCCUCCUGGCCCCUCCUUCAGGCCUGGAAGGCGCCGAGCAUCUGCCCUCCGCCUGCGGGCUGGGCCCCCCUCACCUCUGGGGCUGAGCUGAGCCACCUCUUCCUCAGACCCCGCCUCCCGCCUUCCAAACCAGCUUCUCCCGUGACUCCUUGAGCACGUCCCCUGAUCUGGAGCCCUGGUGCGACGACCUGUGUGAGUCCAUCUCCCCCACUGGACUGGAGACUACGUGAGGGCAGGGGCUGUGUGGCUCUCUCCUUCACCGCUCGGCCCCGUGUCCAGCACAGCGGGAGCCUGUAACAGGUAGUCGGUCCACCACCGUUGAAGGAAUGAACACGUGAUGUGGGAAGAAAUUAUCCAGUCUCUGUACCUUGCAGCUCCUCCCUCUGUAAAGUGAGUAUGGAGAACGUCUGCCUGAAAAUAAUAUUCAACACCGAUAGAGAGCCUGCUGUGUGCCCGGCUUGUCCAGACAUCAUCUCCUUGAAUCCUCAUCAGCCCUACGGGGCAGAUGCUGUUGUGAUCACCCCCAUUUUCCAGUGAUGGGGUUAGGUGUGGUCACCUGGCCACUUCUGGCCAAUGAGAAGUGAGGAAGGCUGCUGGAUGAAGGAACCUCUGAUGCUGCUGUCACUGGCCCUCGUCAUGCCUGAUGUGACAACCGGAACUGGGACAGCAAUCCCGCAGCCACCAUCUUGUGGCUGCCGUCCUGUGGCCCUGAGGGAAGCUUGCCUAACAGCAAAGCUGUCGCACUAAGUGUGCCGAGAGGAAGUAGGGGACAGACCGGGGUCUGUGGUGAUGCCGUGGGGCUGCUGGAGCAGCUGGCCCCAGGGCUGCCUGACCCUGCGACUCGGGGCCGUUUGUCCUUUCUGAUGCCUUGUGUUCUAUAUGUGCUCCUUGCCCCCAGAAGAAGCCCAACAAAUUCUUUGUUGUUGUUAGUGCCUUCAAGUCGCUUCUGACUCCUGGUCACCCUGCGGACAGCAGAGCAGAACCCUGCCGGGUCUUUCGCGCCAUCCUCUCAGCUUCCAGCACUAUGUCAGGCCAUGCUCUGCUGCUGUUCUCGGGGUUUUCAUGGUCAAGUUUUUUGGAAGUGGGUGGCCAGGGCCUCCUUC